GUCCUUUUGAGUUUUAUAUAAGGUCUAACCUGCCCAAUGAUUAAUUUUAAAUGGCCGCGGUAUUCUGACCGUGCAAAGGUAGCAUAAUAAUUAGUUUUUUAAUUGAAAGCUGGAAUGAAAGGUUGGAUAAGGAAAUUACUGUCUCUUAAAAAUUUUAUUAGAACUUUAUUUUUAAGUAAAAAAGCUUAAAUUUAAUUUAAAGACGAGAAGACCCUUUAGAGUUUUAUAUAAUAAAUUAUAUUUUAUUAUUUAGUAUUUAUUAAGUAAAAAAUAAUUUUUGUAUUUGAUUGGGGUGAUUGAAAAAUUUAAAAAACUUUUUUUUUUAUUUUACAUUGAUUUAUGAAUAUUUGAUCCAAUUAUUUUGAUUACAAGAAUAAAUUACCUAAGGGAUAACAGCGUUAUUUUUUUUGAGAGUUCAUAUCGAAAAAAAAGAUUGCGACCUCGAUGUUGGAUUAAAAUUAAAUUAUGGUGCAGAAGCUAUAACUUUAGGUCUGUUCGACCUUUAAAAUUUUACAUGAUCUGAGUUUAAACCGGCGUGAGCCAGGUUGGUUUCUAUCUUAAAUUUAUAUUAAUAUUUUAGUACGAAAGGACCAAAUAUUAGAUUUAAAAUUUAUUUUUUGAAUAUGAUUAAUUAUUUUGGCAGAUUAGUGCAAUAGAUUUAGAAUCUUUUUAUGUAAUUUUUAUUACAAAUAAUACUUGUUAUUAAAAGAUUUGAUUUUGUCAUUAAUUUCUAGAGUAAUUUUAUUAGUUUGUGUAUUAGUAGGAGUGGCUUUUUUAACUUUAUUAGAACGUAA
rnacentral:rRNA from 1 species